UAAACUGGGAUUAGAUACCCCACUAUGCAAGUCGUAAACUUUUAUUUACAUCCAAAUCGCCAGGGUACUACAAGCAAAGCUUAAAACCCAAGGGACUUGACGGUACCCCACACCCACCUAGAGGAGCCUGUCCUAUAAUUGAUAACCCCCGCUAAACCUCACCACCAUUAGCUUCUUCAGCCUGUAUACUUCCGUCGUCAGCCUACCCCAUGAGCGAAAUUAAGUCAGCAUAAUGCCCACCCGCCAAUACGUCAGGUCAAGGUGCAGCAAACAUGGUGGGAAGAGAUGGGCUACACUUUCUAGCUUAGAAUAAACGAAAGACUAACAUGAAAACUCAGUCAGAAGGUGGAUUUAGUAGUAAAAAGAGAAUAGAAUGUUCUUUUUAAAUCGGCCCUGGGGUGUGUACACACCGCCCGUCACCCUCA
rnacentral:rRNA from 1 species